GACGAACGCUGGCGGCGUGCCUAAUACAUGCAAGUAGAACGCUGAAGGAGGAGCUUGCUUCUCUGGAUGAGUUGCGAACGGGUGAGUAACGCGUAGGUAACCUGCCUGGUAGCGGGGGAUAACUAUUGGAAACGAUAGCUAAUACCGCAUAAGAGUAGAUGUUGCAUGACAUUUGCUUAAAAGGUGCAAUUGCAUCACUACCAGAUGGACCUGCGUUGUAUUAGCUAGUUGGUGGGGUAACGGCUCACCAAGGCGACGAUACAUAGCCGACCUGAGAGGGUGAUCGGCCACACUGGGACUGAGACACGGCCCAGACUCCUACGGGAGGCAGCAGUAGGGAAUCUUCGGCAAUGGACGGAAGUCUGACCGAGCAACGCCGCGUGAGUGGAGAAGGUUUUCGGAUCGUAAAGCUCUGUUGUAAGAGAAGAACGAGUGUGAGAGUGGAAAGUUCACACUGUGACGGUAUCUUACCAGAAAGGGACGGCUAACUACGUG
rnacentral:rRNA from 1 species